UACACACCGCCCGUCACACCAUGGGAGUGGGUUGCUCCAGAAGGCGUUAGUCUAACCGCAAGGAGAACGACGCCCACGGAGUGGUUCAUGACUGGGGUG
rnacentral:rRNA from 1 species